GAUGAACGCUGGCGGCGUGCCUAAUACAUGCAAGUCGAGCGAACAGACGAGGAGCUUGCUCCUCUGACGUUAGCGGCGGACGGGUGAGUAACACGUGGAUAACCUCCCUAUCAGACUGGGAUAACUUCGGGAAACCGGAGCUAAUACCGGAUAAUAUAUUGAACCGCAUGGUUCAAUAGUGAAAGACGGUUUUGCUGUCACUUAUAGAUGGAUCCGCGCCGCAUUAGCUAGUUGGGAAGGUAACGGCUUACCAAGGCAACGAUGCGUAGCCGACCUGAGAGGGGGAUCGGCCACACUGGAACUGAGACACGGUCCAGACUCCUACGGGAGGCAGCAGUAGGGAAUCUUCCGCAAUGGGCGAAAGCCUGACGGAGCAACGCCGCGUGAGUGAUGAAGGUCUUCGGAUCGUAAAACCCUGUUAUUAGGGAAGAACAAAUGUGGAAGUAACGAUGCACGGCUUGACGGUACCUAAUCAGAAAGCCCCGGCUAACUACGUG
rnacentral:rRNA from 1 species